rnacentral:rRNA from 1 species
AUUGAACGCUGGCGGCAUGCUUUACACAUGCAAGUCGAACGGCAGCGGGGGCUUCGGCCUGCCGGCGAGUGGCGAACGGGUGAGUAAUACAUCGGAACGUGUCCUUGAGUGGGGAAUAACGCAUCGAAAGAUGUGCUAAUACCGCAUAUCUCUGAGGAGAAAAGCAGGGGAUCGCAAGACCUUGCGCUAAAGGAGCGGCUGAUGUCUGAUUAGCUAGUUGGUGAGGUAAAGGCUCACCAAGGCAACGAUCAGUAGUUGGUCUGAGAGGACGGCCAACCACACUGGGACUGAGACACGGCCCAGACUCCUACGGGAGGCAGCAGUGGGGAAUUUUGGACAAUGGGCGAAAGCCUGAUCCAGCCAUGCCGCGUGAGUGAAGAAGGCCUUCGGGUUGUAAGCUCUUUUAGUCGGUAAAGAAAGAAUCAUAAUAGAACAAUUAUAGAUUCAUGACGGUACCGACAAGAAAAGACAACCGGCUAACUACGUGACC